UUCCAGGCUCAACUCAAACAUUACCUCAUCCCUCCAUGAAGUAUUCCAGAUGUUCACAGAAAGAAAUUUCGUUCUUUAUAGGUUUGAGGAACAGCAUUUGUUUUCAUGACAGAAUCGAACUCUGUUUCAGAGUUCAGAGACAUACUCACUUAUCCGGAAUUGACAGCAAAAGGAAGGAAUUCCAGAGAUACUUAACAUCUCAUGGAUGAUUAAUUUAUCAACUGAUGGGCUCAGGAUGAACAGACUGGAGAAAGAGCAUGGAUUAGCUUCAGCAUCUCUAGGAAAUCAAAUCUUUGGAGGACUGGACUAUGUAGGGUGAUGCUAUGGCCUAAGACACUCUUUUCAGCCCACUGUCUAUUUUUCCAGCAGGCCUUUCUUUCUGCAAUAGAGCAAAAAAAAUUCCUUAGCUAUGAUCAAUGUCUAUUUUGGACAAAGGCUCUGAGAAUGGCAAUCACAUCUUACUACAAAUGAAAGCCUUUGUGUGGAUCUCCCUAGGAAGUUAGGAAUUUUAUACUCAUCUCUAUAAAAACUACUACUUUUAUGUAAGUGUGUAUUUCUCAUAGUGACUAGUACAUGCCUGAGCAUAUAGGGAUCUUUACACAAAGUACACUCAUUGAAGUACAAAUGAACUCUGUAGGCUCAGCUAGGUUCAGGUGACCAGUCACUGUCUAGUGAAUAAGGGGGUAAAACUGGAAGACUAUGGAUGAGAAAAUCAAACAUUUAUGUGAUGUGAAUACUUUCUUCCUUUAUCAAAAGACUGCCAACAUUCAGCAGGCAAGAAUACAAGAACUCUUAAAGUGAUGGGGCCUUCCUUUUGGCCAAGAACUAAGACUAUCUAAGAAACCAAACCACCUGUCCAAAUUUGGGUACAUUAGCCUACGUCUUCUGUGCCUUAGGGCUUAAUAAUAAUUUUUACCUGUCCUACUGACAAGAAAGACAGAUUUUUAAAAAUAUAGGAAAUAGACUAACUAUGAUAUCUGAUUCAAAUCUAACCAUGUCUAAAACAAGCCACAUAAAAUUCAUAUAUAAAUCAAAUGUAUAUAUCCUUAAUCUUGAUAUGCGAUAGAUCCAUCUCACUUGUAGUUGGCAGAAUUCAUAGAUGGACCCACAUUCCUACUCCAUUGGAUAGUCCUCUUCCCCUCUACAGGCAGAACCUGUGAAUAUGAUGAGAUAGUUACUCCUUUGAUUAGGUUAUGUUAUAUUUGACAAGUGGUGAUGGGAUAGUCACUUCUAUUAUUAUUUUACAUGAUGUAAGACUUCCUUAUAGCAGACUGGAGUGGAAUUAAGAAGUCAGAGAGAUGCACUCCUGCUGCCUGGAUGAAAGCAAAUAGGUUUGUGUAAACUGCCAUGGAGCCAUGAGGGAAGGAAUGGAGGUCACCUCUAGGAGCUGAGAGCUGCCCUGGCUGACAACUAGCAAGAAGAUGAGACUGCAGUAAAAUAGCUGCAAAAAAAUGAAUUUUGCAAAGAAAAAAUUUCUGAGAUUGGAAAAGGAUCCUGAGCCUCGGGUGAUAACUGAAUCCCCGGACAAUGCUUUGAUUUCAGCCUGGUGAUAUUCUGAGUGGAGUACUCAGCUAACAUGAACCUGGACUCCUGAUCCAUGGAAAUUGUAAGAUGGAUACAUAUGAAGAAAUUCACCAUGAGGGAUUGGCUUACAUGACUGUGGAGGUUGAAAAGUCCCAUGAUUUGCCAUCUACAAGCUGGAAGUCCAGGAAAGCUAGUGGUGUAGUUCUAGUUUGAGUCUAAAGGCCCAAUACCUGGGAGUAUCAAUGUCUUAGGAAAGGAGAAAAUGAAUGUUCCAGCUCAAGCAGAAAGAAUAAAUUCACUCUUCAUCCACCUUUUCAUUCCAUUCAGACCCUCAGUUGAUUGGAUGAUGCCUGUACACAUUGGUGAAUUCCAGUGUUCUGUCUUUAGACAGUCUACUGAUUCAAAUGCUAAUAUCUUCCAGAAACAACCAUAUGGAUACAUCCAGAAAUAAUGUUUCACCAGCUAUGUAAGCAUUCCUUAGCCCAGUAAAGUCGACACAUAAAAUUAACCCUCAGAGUUGGCAUGAUAUUUUAUCCUUAUUCUUAAACCAUUUUAUGAGUAAGCAAUAUGAUUGUAAAAUGAUGAGGCUAUUUUUUUCCCUGUAGAUACAAAUGUUAUAGUUAAUAGUAUAAAUAAGUCUUUUCCCUUGUAGAAGAAAUUAUUUAAUCUCUCCUCAUUGUUAUGACAUAUACAUUAU
rnacentral:lncRNA from 1 species